rnacentral:rRNA from 1 species
UGAAUACGAGAUGCUACGGCAUCGAAGCAGUCUAUGUCAUACUUCCAAGAAAAGCUUGCACUGUCAUAAACAAAUAAUGCCUGUACCAUAACCGACACAGGUGGGUAGGUAGAGUAUACUAAGGGGCGCGAGAUAACUCUCUCUAAGGAACUCGGCAAAAUGACUCCGUAACUUCGGGAGAAGGAGUGCCUUAUUUUAUAAGGUUGCAAUAACAAGAUCCAAGCAACUGUUUACCAAAAACACAGGUCUCCGCUAAGUCGUAAGACGAUGUAUGGGGGCUGACGCCUGCCCAGUGCCAGAAGGUUAAAGAAGUUGGUUAGCAUUAGCGAAGCUGAUAACUGAAGCCUUGGUGAACGGCGGCCGUAACUAUAACGGUCCUAAGGUAGCGAAAUUCCUUGUCGGGUAAGUUCCGACCCGCACGAAAGGCGUAAUGAUUUGGAUACUGUCUCGGAGAGGGGCUCGGUGAAAUAGACUUGUCUGUGAAGAUGCGGACUACCUGCACCAGGACAGAAAGACCCUAUGAAGCUUUACUGUAACUUGAGAUUGAAAUUGGACUUUAUUUGCGCAGUAUAGGUGGGAGACGUUGAAAAUAUUCUUGCGGGAAUAUUGGAGUCAUCAGUGAGAUACCACUCUUAUAAUGUUAGAUUUCUAACUUUGUAUCAUUAUCUGGUCAAAGAACAGUCUCAGGCGGGCAGUUUGACUGGGGCGGUCGCCUCCCAAACGGUAACGGAGGCGCACAAAGGUUUCCUCUGAACGUGUAGAAAUCGUGUCUAGAGUGUAAAGGCAUAAGGAAGCUUGACUGUGAGACCUACAAGUCGAGCAGGGACGAAAGUCGGUCUUAGUGAUCUGACGGUGCUGAGUGGAAAGGCCGUCACUCAACGGAUAAAAGUUACUCUAGGAUAACAGGCUGAUCUCCCCCAAGAGUUCACAUCGACGGGGAGGUUUGGCACCUCGAUGUCGGCUCAUCGCAUCCUGGGGCGGUAGUACGUCCCAAGGGUUGGGCUGUUCGCCCAUGAAAGCGGUACGCGAGCUGGGUUCAGAACGUCGUGAGACAGUUCGGUCCAUAUCCGGUGUAGGCGUUAGAAUAUUGAGAGGAGCCUUCUUUAGUACGAGAGGACCGAGAAGGACAUACCUCUGGUGUACCAGUUAUCGUGCCAACGGUAAACGCUGGGUAGCUAUGUAUGGAGAGGAUAACCGCUGAAAGCAUCUAAGUGGGAAGCCCACCUCAAGAUAAGUAUUCUCA